UGUCCCUGGUGGGACACUUAAUAUGCUGUCUGUACUUUGGAAAUUCGUCGGCCAGGUGCAGUAACGCCUCACUAACACAGGCCUGAGGUGGAAUGUAAACAGUGACCAGCACAAACGACGAAAACUCCCGCGAUGAAUAAGGGAUGGCAGAAAACAGAAUUUAUAAACAAAAACACAAAAAGCAUUACGCAGCGUAAUCCAGAGGCGACUGUCUGCUGCGCCAUCUAGGCUGGAAUAAGACUUUCUGUGGCUCUCCGAAACGAACCAUCCUACUGGAUGACAUUGAGGACGUGGAGGAUGAAGAGGAUCUGCAGGACUACCUGGAGAUCCACUUUCAGAAGCCCAGCAACUAUGGUGGUGAGAUAGAGAGCAUCAAAUACAUCUCCAGGGGCAAGACUCUGCAGGCCUAUUUUCUCAGUGAGGACAACUGACUGACAGCAAGUUUUCCUUACAUCUACCACGUGUAAGGAAAGUAAAAAGAGCCCCUCCCUAUCCACUGGGAAUCUUUCUCCUAUGAUUUUUAGAAAUAGAAAAUCAUAUUUGUUACGUGUUUUGCAUUAUUUCAAAGAAUUCUGUAUAUUUCUUGUGCCUAAUUUGAAGGAAUGCUUUGUGGAAAAUUCACUUAUGUGCUGUCAUGCUUAGUCAGAUGAGACGACCUAGUGAUUUAAUCUUUGUGCAUUCAGUAGUGGGUAUGAAUUUGAUUUGGUGAGGGGUAUUUAGGUAGUAGUAAGUGGCAAAACAAAGGCCAACUAUAAGACAGGACAAAUAAUCUAAAUCUACAAAAUAAUGUCAUAAUAAAUAUUAUUCUAGACAGGUUUUGGUGGUUUACAGAAUUACACAUCUGUCAUGUGACUAAUGGCUAUUUAUUCUUAUUUGUUUGAUUAUUUCAGUGAUUUGGAUGCAUGUCUGCCCAUUCCUUUUAGAAUACUUUGUAACAUGAAGGCAGUCCUGAUAUAGUCUAAUAGUUGCUUCAGUAAGAACUUUCCAGAGUUGUAAAAUCCUGUCUGUGAGUAUAAGAAAACGCAGUGUUUUGUGUCUGUAAAUCCUUGAAAUUAACAGACGUGUUACUGACACUGGACAUCUAUACAAUAUUAAAAAUAAUGGAAUCUA